GCCCGGAUAGUCUAGUGGUUUAUGAUUCUCGCUUGUUAUGCGAGAGGUCCCGCGUUCGACUCGCGGUUCGGGCC
rnacentral:tRNA from 1 species